rnacentral:lncRNA from 1 species
AUUUCUAAAUAAUAUAAGAAAACGGAAACAAUUACUACAAAGAAAAAGAGAGACGCAACCAAUAUUCCAAAUGUUCUGGUGCUAAAGAUUCUUGAGGAAGAAAUAUAGAGAAGCAUAUUAGAAGAGAACUGGAAAGGAGGACGUAUUUUGAAAUACAAAAUUAAAGAAAAAGAAAGAGUUGAGGAUGUAUGGUGGCACAAAAGAAUAAGAGAUGGAGUUUCUCACUACUGCCCAGGCUGGAGUGCAAUGGCAAAAUCUUGGCUCACUGCAACCUCAACCUCCCAGGUUCAAGCGAUUCUUCUGCCUCAGCUUCCUGAGCAACUGAGAUUACAGCUCAGAGACCUAUGUGUGGGUGCUUUCAAAUGUAUACAUUAUCAAUCGAACGACUCAAGAUGGCACGGUGAGAACAACCCAGGAUUGAAGCUCUCAGUGAACACGCGGAGGGCUGAACUUUCUGAAUUUGGUAUGAGAAGCAAUGAUCAGGAGACACAGAGCUGGAUAAACCUUCUCAUGAAAGUAUAUACUCACUCGUAAGUCUGGAUUUCAGAAAGUUGCUGGAAAAAAUGAAUACAACUUUAUAAUGAAGCAAAGAGAUUUGGUUUAUGGCUGAUAAUGCCUGAAGGAAGGGUCUAUUCUCAUGGCAAGCUGAUGUCUACAACUCAGAUAGAUACCGCCAAGUUCUCAUGGAAUUAUGGCUAAUGUCCAUUGAUUGAACAAAAAAAUAAGAGUGAAUAAAAACUAAACAAUUUAAAACCACAUUUUGUGUAGUCAACAUCUUUAAUACCAACAGCAGACCCAGAAGCAGAACUCAGAAUGGCAGAAUAUCAGGUGAUACACACUAUAUGAUUGAAUAAUGCAAGCCCACAACUAGUGCUUUGAUUAAGAACCAUAAAAAUAGGAGUCAAAGUAAAUGCC